rnacentral:misc_RNA from 1 species
GGGAGACUCAGGAGUUGAAAAGAUUUCCAACCCUCCAGUCUGAACUGGCAGCAGCCUCUUAUGAGGCUUUGGAAAAAUUCCGCGAAGAAAGUCGUAAGACAGCAGUACGUCUGGUCGACAUGGAGUCUUCUUACCUAACAGUGGAUUUCUUCAGGAAACUCCCUCAGGAGGUGGAGAAGGCUGGGGCUCCUGCUGCGGCUAAUGUUGAUAGAUAUACUGAUGGGCAUUUCAGAAAGAUAGCAUCAAAUGUGUCAUCAUAUAUUGGGAUGGUUUCAGAUACACUGAAACAUACCAUUCCUAAAGCUGUGGUUUAUUGUCAAGUUCGUGAAGCCAAACGCUCAUUGCUCAAUCAUUUCUACACGCUCGUGGGGAGGAAAGAGGGCAAGCAGCUAGCCCAGCUGUUGGAUGAGGAUCCGGCUUUGAUGGAACGU